rnacentral:misc_RNA from 1 species
AACCAUAGAAACCUGCGGAGUACCUGCGGAAGGAUCAUUACAGAGUUGCAAAACUCCCUAAACCAUUGUGAACGUUACCUAAACCGUUGCUUCGGCGGGCGGCCCGGGUCCUUCCCGGCGCCCCUCGGCCCUCGCGGGCGCCCGCCGGAGGUAAACCAAACUAUUGCAUUGUAUGGCCUCUCUGAGUCUUCUGUACUGAAUAAGUCGAAACUUUUAGCAACGGAUCUCAGAUCGGAAGAG